rnacentral:rRNA from 1 species
ACGAACGCUGGCGGCGUGCUUAACACAUGCAAGUCGAACGAAGAGCGAUGGAAGCUUGCUUCUAUCAAUCUUAGUGGCGAACGGGUGAGUAACGCGUAAUCAACCUGCCCUUCAGAGGGGGACAACAGUUGGAAACGACUGCUAAUACCGCAUACGAUCCAAUCUCGGCAUCGGGACUGGAUGAAAGGUGGCCUCUAUUUAUAAGCUAUCACUGAAGGAGGGGAUUGCGUCUGAUUAGCUAGUUGGAGGGGUAACGGCCCACCAAGGCGAUGAUCAGUAGCCGGUCUGAGAGGAUGAACGGCCACAUUGGGACUGAGACACGGCCCAGACUCCUACGGGAGGCAGCAGUGGGGAAUCUUCCGCAAUGGACGAAAGUCUGACGGAGCAACGCCGCGUGAGUGAUGACGGCCUUCGGGUUGUAAAGCUCUGUUAAUCGGGACGAAUGGUUCUUGUGCGAAUAGUGCGAGGAUUUGACGGUACCGGAAUAGAAAGCCACGGCUAACUACGUG